rnacentral:rRNA from 1 species
UACGGAGGGUGCAAGCGUUAUCCGGAUUCACUGGGUUUAAAGGGUGCGUAGGUGGGCAGGUAAGUCAGUGGUGAAAUCUCCGGGCUUAACUCGGAAACUGCCAUUGAUACUAUCUGUCUUGAAUACCGUGGAGGUUAGCGGAAUAUGUCAUGUAGCGGUGAAAUGCUUAGAUAUGGCAUAGAACACCAAUUGCGAAGGCAGCUGGCUACACGAAUAUUGACACUGAUGCACGAAAGCGUGGGGAUCAAACAGG